CCUACGGGUGGCAGCAGUGAGGAAUAUUGGUCAAUGGGCGCGAGCCUGAACCAGCCAAGUAGCGUGAAGGAUGACUGCCCUACGGUUUGUAAAUUUCUUUUAUAAAGGAAUAAAGUGUGGCACGUGUGCCUUUUUGUAUGUACUUUAUGAAUAAGGAUCGGCUAACUCCGUUCCAUCAGCCGCGGUAAUACGGUGGAUCCGAGCGUUGUCCGGAUUUAUUGGGUUUAAAGGGCACGUAGAUGGGUUGUUAAGUCAGUUGGGAAAGUUUGCGGCUCAACCGUAAAAUUGCAAUUGAUACUGGCAGCCUUGAGUCCAGUUGAGGUAGGCGGAAUUCGAGGUGUAGCGGUGAAAUGCUUA
rnacentral:rRNA from 1 species